AUACGUAGGUGACAAGCGUUAUCCGGAUUUACUGGGCGUAAAGGGCGUGUAGGCGGUCUUGCAAGUCAGAAGUGAAAUUCCUGAGCUCAACUCGGGCGCUGCUUCUGAAACUGCAGGACUUGAGUGCUGGAGGGGAUAGCGGAAUUCCUAGUGGAGCGGUAAAAUGCGCAGAUAUUAGGAAGAACACCGGUGGCGAAGGCGGCUAUCUGGACAGUAACUGACGCGGAGGCGCGAAAGCGUGGGGAGCAAACAGGAUUAGAUCCCCUGGUAGUCCACGCCGUAAACGAUGAAUACUAGGUGUAGGGGGUAUCGACUCCCUCUGUGCCGCAGUUAACACAAUAAGUAUUCCGCCUGGGGAGUACGGCCGCAAGGUUGAAACUCAAAUGAAUUGACGAG
rnacentral:rRNA from 1 species